AGUGAACGCUGGCGGUAGGCCUAACACAUGCAAGUCGAACGGCAGCACAGUAAGAGCUUGCUCUUACGGGUGGCGAGUGGCGGACGGGUGAGGAAUACAUCGGAAUCUACUUUUUCGUGGGGGAUAACGUAGGGAAACUUACGCUAAUACCGCAUACGACCUACGGGUGAAAGCAGGGGAUCUUCGGACCUUGCGCGAUUGAAUGAGCCGAUGUCGGAUUAGCUAGUUGGCGGGGUAAAGGCCCACCAAGGCGACGAUCCGUAGCUGGUCUGAGAGGAAGAUCAGCCACACGGGAACUGAGACACGGUCCAGACUCCUAAGGGAGGAAGCAGUGGGGAAUAUUGGACAAUGGGCGCAAGCCUGAUCCAGCCAUACCGCGUGGGUGAAGAAGGCCUUCGGGUUGUAAAGCCCUUUUGUUGGGAAAGAAAAGCAGCAGGUUAAUACCCCGCUGUUCUGACGGUACCCAAAGAAUAAGCACCGGCUAACUUCGUG
rnacentral:rRNA from 1 species